rnacentral:rRNA from 1 species
UACAGAGGGUGCGAGCGUUAAUCGGAGUUACUGGGCGUAAAGGGCGUGUAGGCGGACAUAUAAGUCAGAUGUGAAAUCCCGGGGCUCAACUCCGGAACAGCAUUUGAAACUGUAUAUCUAGAGGGUAGACGGAGAGAACGGAAUUCCACAAGUAGCGGUGAAAUGCGUAGAUAUGUGGAAGAACACCAGUGGCGAAGGCGGUUUUCUAUUUUAUUCCUGACGCUGAGGCGCGAAAGCAAGGGGAUCAAACAGG